GAUGAACGCUGGUGGCGUGCCUAACACAUGCAAGUCGAGCGAUUCUCUUCGGCGAAGAUCGGCGGACGGGUGAGUAACGCGUUGGUAACCUGCCCUGUACCCACCGAUAACAUACCGAAUGGUUUGAUAAUACGAGGUAACAUGCCUUUAACGAACUGCAGAUGCAUCAAAGGUGUUGCGGUACAGGAUGGACCCGCGUCUGAUUAGCUAGUUGGUAGGGUAACGGCACACUAAGGCGAGGACCAGUAUCCGACCGGGGAGGGUGAUCGGCCACAUAGGAACUAAGGCACGGUCCAAACUCCUACGGGAGGGAGCAGUGGAGAAUAUUACACAAUGGGGGAUAACCUGAUGAAGCAGCGCCCGGUAAGCGAUGAAGGGCGUCGGGUCGUAAAGCUCUGUCCUCAAGGAAGAUAGUGACGGUACUUGAGGAGGAAGCCCCGGCUAACUACGUG
rnacentral:rRNA from 1 species